rnacentral:rRNA from 1 species
GAUGAACGCUGGCGGCAUGCCUAAUACAUGCAAGUCGAGCGGUAACAGGAGAAAGCUUGCUUUCUCGCUGACGAGCGGCGGACGGGUGAGUAAUGUAUGGGGAUCUGCCCGAUAGAGGGGGAUAACUACUGGAAACGGUAGCUAAUACCGCAUGACGUCUACGGACCAAAGCAGGGGCUCUUCGGACCUUGCGCUAUCGGGUGAACCCAUAUGGGAUUAGCUAGUAGGUGAGGUAAUGGCUCACCUAGGCGACGAUCUCUAGCUGGUCUGAGAGGAUGAUCAGCCACACUGGGACUGAGACACGGCCCAG